rnacentral:snRNA from 1 species
AGAUGUGGGGGGGGCGAUCUGGCUGUGACAUCCUUCACCCCAGUGAUCGCCAAUGUUGAUUUGGCUGAUCAGGCUGGCUAGGCGGGUGUCCGCUUCCUCUCUCACCAUCUAUGUGUGCCAUCUCGCAGUUGCAACUCGGUGGAAAAGGACGAUCGUCCAACAGAGACCAAAAAACUUUUCCGUCUAAGGAAUUAUGAUAAGUGUAACCUUCCAAACAAACUCUAAACCCGGGAUCCCAGUUCCCAGAGCCAGACGCCUCACCGGCGGGAAGCAGAGGUAACUUACAUUUGGAUCGAUCUUU